GAUGAACGCUGGCGGCGUGCCUAAUACAUGCAAGUCGAGCGAACGGACGAGAAGCUUGCUUUUCUGAUGUUAGCGGCGGACGGGAGAGUAACACGUGGAUAACCUACCUAUAAGACUGGGAUAACUUCGGGAAACCGGAGCUAAUACCGGAUAAUAUUUUGAACCGCAUGGUUCAAAAGUGAAAGACGGUCUUGCUGUCACUUAUAGAUGGAUCCGCGCUGCAUUAGCUAGUUGGUAAGGUAACGGCUUACCAAGGCAACGAUGCAUAGCCGACCUGAGAGGGUGAUCGGCCACACGGGAGCUGGGACACGGACCAGACUCCUACGGGAGGCAGCAGUAGGGAAUCUUCCGCAAUGGGCGAAAGCCUGACGGAGCAACGCCGCGUGAGUGAUGAAGGUCUCCGGAUCGUAAAACUCUGUUAUUAGGGAAGAACAUAUGUGUAAGGAACUGUGCACAGCGUGACGGUACCUAAUCAGAAAGCCACGGCUAACUACGUG
rnacentral:rRNA from 1 species